rnacentral:misc_RNA from 1 species
GUUUUUAGUAAGUUAUCACACUCUCUGCACCCUUUUCUACUUCCCUAAAUGUUUUAUGGUUAAUGUAGAGUAAUUUAAAAGGGGUUUGGGUUAAAAUAUUUAAAAGUUAGGGUUUAUGGUAUAUUAAUAGGAAAACCUUAAAUCUAGACUAACCAAAGUUAAAUGAUGUUUAAUCAAGCUAUUUUAUGGUCAUAAUAGCUUAAGAUAGUUAAUGGAGCUUGAUUUGGGUGCUAAGGAAGCAAAGUGGCAC